rnacentral:rRNA from 1 species
GCAGCGAAACGCGAUAGUUAAUGUGAAUUGCAGAAUUCAGUGAAUCAUCGAGUCUUUGAACGCACAUUGCGCCCAUUGGUAUUCCAUUGGGCAUGUCUGUUUGAGCGUCAUUACAACCCUCGGUCACCACCGGUUUUGAGCAAGCGAGGUCUCCGGACCCGGCUGGCUUUAAAGUUGUAAGCUCUGCUGGCUGCCAGGCCCAACCAGAACAUAGUAAAAUCAUGCUUGUUCACGGUUCGCGGUCGAAGCGGUACGACCUGAACAAUACCUACCACCUCUCAGGUUUGACCUCAGAUCAGACAAGGAUACCCGCUGAACUUAAGCAUAUCAAUAAGCGGAGGAAAAGAAACCAACAGGGAUUGCCUCAGUAACGGCGAGUGAGGCGGCAAAAGCUCAAAUUUGAAAUCUGGAGCCUUCGGCUUCCGAGUUGUAAUUUGAAGAGGGUGUUUCGGGAGUAGCCUUGGCCCAAGUUCCUUGGAACAGGACGUCAUGGAGGGUGAGAAUCCCGUACAUGGCUGAAGGCUUUCUCUCAUG